rnacentral:tRNA from 1 species
GGAGUUGUGGCUCAGUGGUGGAGCGCUUGCCUGGCAUGCAUGAGACCUUGGGUUUGACACUCAGCACUGCA